UGGGGAAUAUUGGACAAUGGGCGAAAGCCUGAUCCAGCCAUGCCGCGUGUGUGAAGAAGGUCUUCGGAUUGUAAAGCACUUUAAGUUGGGAGGAAGGGCAGUAAGCGAAUACCUUGCUGUUUUGACGUUACCGACAGAAUAAGCACCGGCUAACUCUGUGCCAGCAGCCGCGGUUAUACAGAGGGUGCAAGCGUUAAUCGGAAUUACUGGGCGUAAAGCGCGCGUAGGUGGUUCGUUAAGUUGAAUGUGAAAGCCCCGGGCUCAACCUGGGAACUGCAUCCAAAACUGGCGAGCUAGAGUAGGGCAGAGGGUGGUGGAAUUUCCUGUGUAGCGGUGAAAUGCGUAGAUAUAGGAAGGAACACCAGUGGCGAAGGCGACCACCUGGGCUCAUACUGACACUGAGGUGCGAAAGCGUGGGGAGCAAACAGG
rnacentral:rRNA from 1 species